ACUCAAAGGAAUUGACGGGGGCCCGCACAAGCAGCGGAGCGUGUGGUUUAAUUCGAUGAUACGCGAAGAACCUUACCUGGGUUUGACAUAGAGGUAGUAGGGAAGCGAAAGCGGACCGACCCUUCGGGGGGCCUCUACAGGUGCUGCAUGGCUGUCGUCAGCUCGUGUCGUGAGAUGUUGGGUUAAGUCCCGCAACGAGCGCAACCCUCGUGGCUAGUUACAAGUGUCUAGCCAGACUGCCGGUUUCAAACCGGAGGAAGGUGGGGAUGACGUCAAGUCAGCAUGGUCUUUAUGUCCAGGGCUACACACACGCUACAAUGGCCGGUACAAUGGGUUGCCACACCGCGAGGUGCAGCUAAUCCCCAAAGCCGGUCUCAGUUCAGAUUGCAGUCUGCAACUCGACUGCAUGAAGGCGGAGUUGCUAGUAACCGCGCGUCAGCCAUAGUGCGGUGAAUGCGUUCCCGGGCCUUGUACACACCGCCCGU
rnacentral:rRNA from 1 species